GGGCAGCAGUGGGGAAUAUUGCACAAUGGGGGAAACCCUGAUGCAGCCAUGCCGCGUGUGUGAAGAAGGCCUUCGGGUUGUAAAGCACUUUCAGUAGGGAGGAAGGUAGUGUAGUUAACACCUGCAUUAUUUGACGUUACCUACAGAAGAAGCACCGGCUAACUCCGUGCCAGCAGCCGCGGUAAUACGGAGGGUGCGAGCGUUAAUCGGAAUUACUGGGCGUAAAGCGCAUGCAGGCGGCCUGUUAAGUCAGAUGUGAAAGCCCGGGGCUUAACCUACGGAAUUGCUAUUUAGAAACUGGCAGGCUAGAGUCUUGUAGAGGGGGUAGAAUUUCAGGUGUAGCGGUGAAAUGCGUAGAGAUCUGAAUGAAUACCAGUGGCGAAGGCGGCCCCCUGGACAAAGACUGACGCUCAGAUGCGAAAGCGUGGGGAGCAAACAGGAUUAGAUACCCUGGUAG
rnacentral:rRNA from 1 species